AAGACUAUACUUUCAGGGAUCAUUUCUAUAGUAUGUUACUAAAGGGGAUUUUUUUUUUUUUUAAGAAACUUGGAAC
rnacentral:sRNA from 1 species